GGUAGAGAGAAGCUUGCUUCUCUUGAGAGCGGCGGACGGGUGAGUAAUGCCUAGGAAUCUGCCUGGUAGUGGGGGAUAACGCUCGGAAACGGACGCUAAUACCGCAUACGUCCUACGGGAGAAAGCAGGGGACCUUCGGGCCUUGCGCUAUCAGAUGAGCCUAGGUCGGAUUAGCUAGUUGGUGAGGUAAUGGCUCACCAAGGCGACGAUCCGUAACUGGUCUGAGAGGAUGAUCAGUCACACUGGAACUGAGACACGGUCCAGACUCCUACGGGAGGCAGCAGUGGGGAAUAUUGGACAAUGGGCGAAAGCCUGAUCCAGCCAUGCCGCGUGUGUGAAGAAGGUCUUCGGAUUGUAAAGCACUUUAAGUUGGGAGGAAGGGCAGUUACCUAAUACGUAUCUGUUUUGACGUUACCGACAGAAUAAGCACCGGCUAACUCUGUGCCAGCAGCCGCGGUAAUACAGAGGGUGCAAGCGUUAAUCGGAAUUACUGGGCGUAAAGCGCGCGUAGGUGGUUUGUUAAGUUGGAUGUGAAAUCCCCGGGCUCAACCUGGGAACUGCAUUCAAAACUGACAAGCUAGAGUAUGGUAGAGGGUGGUGGAAUUUCCUGUGUAGCGGUGAAAUGCGUAGAUAUAGGAAGGAACACCAGUGGCGAAGGCGACCACCUGGACUGAUACUGACACUGAGGUGCGAAAGCGUGGGGAGCAAACAGGAUUAGAUACCCUGGUAGUCCACGCCGUAAACGAUGUCAACUAGCCGUUGGGAGCCUUGAGCUCUUAGUGGCGCAGCUAACGCAUUAAGUGACCGCCUGGGAG
rnacentral:rRNA from 1 species